UACGGGGGGGGCAAGCGUUGUUCGGAAUUACUGGGCGUAAAGGGCUCGUAGGCGGCCAACUAAGUCAUACGUGAAAUCCCUCGGCUUAACCGGGGAACUGCGUCUGAUACUGGAUGGCUUGAGUUCGGGAGAGGGAUGCGGAAUUCCAGGUGUAGCGGUGAAAUGCGUAGAUAUCUGGAGGAACACCGGUGGCGAAGGCGGUUGGCUGGGCCGUUGCUGACACUGAUGCGCGACAGCGUGGGGAGCAAACAGG
rnacentral:rRNA from 1 species